AGUGAACGCUGGCGGUAGGCCUAACACAUGCAAGUCGAACGGCAGCACAGUAAGAGCUUGCUCUUACGGGUGGCGCGUGGCGGACGGGUGAGGAAUACACCGGAAUCCACUUUUUCGUGGGGGAUAACGUAGGGAAAGUUAUGCUAAUACCGCAUUAGACCUACGGGGGACAGCAGGGGAUCUUCGGACUUUGCGCGAUUGAAUGAGGCGAUGUCGGAUUAGCUAGUUGGCGGGGUAAAGGCCCACCAAGGCGACGAUCCGUAGCUGGUCUGAGAGGAUGAUCAGCCACACUGGAACUGAGACACGGUCCAGACUCCUACGGGAGGCAGCAGUGGGGAAUAUUGGACAAUGGGCGCAAGCCGGAUCCAGCCAUACCGCGUGGGUGAAGAAGGCCUUCGGGUUGGAAAGCCCUUUUGUUGGGAAAGAAAAGCAGCAGGUUAAUACCCCGCUGUUCUGACGGUACCCAAAGAAUAAGCACCGGCUAACUUCGUG
rnacentral:rRNA from 1 species